rnacentral:rRNA from 1 species
GACGAGCCGUGCGAACGUUGUUCGGAAUAACUGGGCUUAAAGGGUGCGUAGGCGGGUUUGCAAGUCUGUGGUGAAAUACUCCCGCUUAACGGGAGAACUGCCGUGGAUACUGCGGACCUCGAGGAAGAUAGGGGCGUGCGGAACAGUUGGUGGAGCGGUGAAAUGCGUUGAUAUCAACUGGAACUCCGGUGGCGAAGGCGGCACGCUGGAUCUUUUCUGACGCUGAGGCACGAAAGCUAGGGGAGCAAACGGG